rnacentral:rRNA from 1 species
CCAGACUCCUACGGGAGGCAGCAGUGGGGAAUAUUGCACAAUGGGGGAAACCCUGAUGCAGCAACGCCGCGUGAGUGAAGAAGUAUUUCGGUAUGUAAAGCUCUAUCAGCAGGGAAGAAGAUGACGGUACCUGACCAAGAGGCCCCGGCUAACUACGUGCCAGCAGCCGCGGUAAUACGUAGGGGGCGAGCGUUAUCCGGAUUCACUGGGUGUAAAGGGAGCGUAGACGGCCAUGCAAGCCAGGGGUGAAAGCCCGGGGCCCAACCCCGGGACUGCCCUUGGAACUGUGCGGCUAGAGUGCGGGAGGGGCAGGCGGAAUUCCUGGUGUAGCGGUGAAAUGCGUAGAUAUCAGGAGGAACACCGGCGGCGAAGGCGGCCUGCUGGACUGCGACUGACGUUGAGGCUCGAAAGCGUGGGGAGCGAACAGGAUUAGAUACCCGCGUACA